rnacentral:rRNA from 1 species
AAGGAUCAUUACUGAGAGAGGGGCUUCGCGCUCCCGGGGGUCUCGGCCCCUAACUCUUCACCCUUUGUGUACCAACCUUUGUUGCUUUGGCGGGUCCGAGGACCUCUCGCGCCGCCCACAGGCCGGCGAGCGCCCGCCAGAGGCCCAUUAAAAUCUGCUUAUUAGUGAUGUCCGAGCGAAAAACACAAUAAAUAAAACUUUCAACAACGGAUCUCUUGGUUCCAGCAUCGAUGAAGAACGCAGCGAAAUGCGAUAACUAAUGUGAAUUGCAGAAUUCAGUGAAUCAUCGAGUCUUUGAACGCACAUUGCGCCCCUCGGUAUUCCGGGGGGCAUGCCUGUUCGAGCGUCAUUAUACCCUUCAAGCGUAGCUUGGUAUUGGGCCUCGCCCCCGUGGCGUGCCCGAAAAGCAGUGGCGGUCCGGGGCGACUUUAAGCGCAGUAAAAUUAUCCCGCUUUGAAAGUUCGCUUCGUGGCCUGCCAGAUAACCCCGUACAUUUCAAAUCAUUGACCUCGGAUCAGGUAGGGAUACCCGCUGAACUUAA